rnacentral:rRNA from 1 species
GAUGAACGCUGGCGGCGUGCCUAAUACAUGCAAGUCGAGCGAACAGACGAGGAGCUUGCUCCUCUGACGUUAGCGGCGGACGGGUGAGUAACACGUGGAUAACCUACCUAUAAGACUGGGAUAACUUCGGGAAACCGGAGCUAAUACCGGAUAAUAUAUUGAACCGCAUGGUUCAAUAGUGAAAGACGGUUUUGCUGUCACUUAUAGAUGGAUCCGCGCCGCAUUAGCUAGUUGGUAAGGUAACGGCUUACCAAGGCGACGAUGCGUAGCCGACCUGAGAGGGGGAUCGGCCCACUUGGAACUGAGACCCGGGCAAGACUCCUAGGGGGGGCAGCAGUAGGGAAUCUUCCGAAAGGGGGGAAAGCCUGACGGAGAAACGCCGGGGGGGUGAUGAAGGUUUUCGGAUCGUAAAACUCUUUUAUUAGGGAAGAAAAAAUGGGUAAGUAACUAUGCACGUCUUGACGGUACCUAAUCAGAAAGCCACGGCUAACUACGU